GAAAUACACAACUAAAAAAUUGGAGUUAAGGCCUGGAGAUUGAGACCAUUCAAAAUAGCUUCUUGUAGCAUGUGAAUGAAUAUUCAUAUAUGCGCAGCCAAUAACAAUGACUGCCUGUGGAUAUCUCAAAAUGAUCCAAAUAUAUAUUGAAUCAAGAAAAUUUAUGCUUGUAUGUUUAAAUUGCUACAUCCUAGGAAUUUUUAGGUAAUUCUAGUUACAAUCCACACUACAACUCAACUCAACUCCACUAAACCUUUAUCCCAAAAAUU
rnacentral:misc_RNA from 1 species